CUUUUCUGUAAUGCGAACGUAAUUUUGUUGAUUAAAAACUUUACAUCAAAGUCAAUGCGUUCAAAAGAAAAGAAAUUAAAUUCGAAUUUCUAAAUACGAAAUUAAAAUAUUCUCUGGAAUUCAUAAACUUUAACCGCCUCGUCGUUUGUGGUGGUUUUUAAAUACGAAUA